GAUCUGUAGACUUUGUUUAUUCAUCAGGUAUUAUGAUGUGCAAGUGAUAUUGUAUGGAUAUGACCUCUUGCCUUGACAGUUUACUUUCACGAUGUUUUUCUGUUUUCUUGCAGUGUAAUCUGUUUUCUCUCUGGGCUUGACGAUUGUUUCUACGGAUGUGUCUGCUACAAGGUGGAUUUGUUGGUUUCCUUGCUCUCCUACUCG